GCAUAUCCGCACCGGAUUAGCGUCACCGGCGGAGAGAUAAGGGGCGCGUGAUUCCCCUCCCUCGCUCGAGAAUUUCCCCGAAAAAGGGAGAAAGUUUCGGCACAAAGAAAGCACAGCUGGACGUGGUCGCUGCGGACGUGUGGAUUGGGAAGUGUGCGGUGACGUGUGGAUAAGUGUGUCCGAUUCACCGGAAAUAAAACAAAAACGAAUCCAAACGGUUUUCCCGCGAAAAGUUAGCCGAACGCUCCCACAAAGGAAUCCACGAACGCCCUUCGGAUCUGGGAAACAUCCGGGUCUUCAUAUUUCUUCCUCGAUCACCGCCAUCAGCUGACAAUGCAUCGCCACACUGACCAGCGCCGUCGGCUUUUUGUCUUUUGUUUAUGAAACACCACCCAACAAAGACAAACAACAAAGCAGAGAAUCAAAGCAAACAACAUCCGUCCUUUGCCCGAGAGGUAUCUGGGCCAAUCGACUCAACCUCGGAAGGUCAUCCUCCAGACCCCGGCCUCGACUUCGGCUUCGCUCGUUCGUUCGGCGUCUUAUAAAAGUGAAAUUCCUGUGGUGGACCUUAAGGAGACUCGCUCUCUCUCUCUCUCUUUUCUCUCUUUUUUCU